UACCUGCUAUGCUGAUGAGGUAACAUUAUGCUGAUGAGGUAACUUUAUGCUGAUGAGAUAACAUUAUAAACACUACCAUAUCACCUGCUAUGCUGAUGAGCUAACAGUAUAGACACUACCAUAGAUACCUGUUAUGCUGAUGAGGUAACAUUAUGCUGAUGAGGUAACUUUAUGCUGAUGAGAUAACAUUAUAGACACUACCAUAUCACGUGCUAUGCUGAUGAGCUAACAGUAUAGACACUACCAUAGAUACCUGUUAUGCUGAUGAGGUAACAUUAUGCUGAUGAGGUAACAUUAUAGACACUACCAUAGAUACCUGCUAUGCUGAUGAGGUAACAUU